UCAGAGGAGUUGUUGGCACAGAAGAUCUGGUAUUCUUUGGAGUCUUGUUUUCUUUCUCAUCAUCAUCAUCAGCAAUGAAUGGUUUGGAAGUACUGUAGAAGAAACAGGAGAGAGUGGCUUCCUAGUUAUUGGUGAUUGAAUUCCAAUUCCCUUUAGUGCACUUUGUGGAGUCAUCGUUGCUGCAUGACCAAAAACCUUAGAGAUUCUGCAGAAUAAUUUCAAAAUUGGAUGAGGAGAUAUAAUAUGAGGUUCAUGGCACAUUAAGAUAAUAAAUUCAAUCUAACAAACUAGUUGUGAAACAAAAUUUUGGGUGCAUCCGUG